UUUUCGUCAACUCCCUCCCACCCCUGGAGCUCCGAAGCCCUCUUCUGUCUCAAAAUCAGGACCACCCUGGCCCUCCACGCCCCAUGAUCAGAGGUGCCUGGUGUUCAAGAAAGUGGCAGAAAAAAGGGGCCGGGCUCUACUUACUACACCAGUGGGCACCAUUUCUACUUACUGCACCACCUGGAGAAAGUUGCAGGUGGGCUCUGUGCCCAUCAGUGAGGUGUCGGGGCCUCAGCUCAGGAGGAAUGGAGAUGAAGGGAGGGGAUGCUCAGCCAGAAGAUGCGAGAACCUGGAAGUGGCCUGCCUGAGCUUGGAUGACCAUUUCUAGGCCAGAGCAAGACAGAGGCCGAGAAGAGUGAAGAGAAGGAAUCUUGCCCCAGGGACCAAGAGGCGGUUUCUGAACCGUGCUCCCGUGCACACGGCCACCAGCAAAGCUCACCCUUGAGUUCUAUCAGGCUCCCUCCACGGCUCUGGUAGGAGUCAAUUUCAUUUUGCAUGUUACAGUCUCCUUUCCUGUUCUUAGAUCUCUGAGGGCUGAACGGAAACCAUCAGCCCUGGGAACAGGGGGGUCAAUGGAAACAGAACUCUCCAUCCAGGGACACUGAAGAGGGGGAGCUCCAAGAAGGAAGACACUGAAUCAGUGGCUGAAUGUUCUACCCUGUCUUCCGAGGGUCACAGUGCAGCCUGUGGGAACCCGAAGCUCUUGCCCACGUGGAAUCUGGGAAUCCCCACAGUGGCCUCAGGAGAAAGCCUGCUCAGCAAGACUGAGGAACCAUCCGAUGAGACCCGAUCACCAUCGUAAUAAACAGAGGAGAAAACUGGCUCAGAGAAGGCAAUGAUCUGCCCUGGGGCACACAGCUAGGUGGUGACGAAAUGACUGGACUGAGGUUCACAUAAGACUCAGCCCCCCAGAUGGCUCCUCAGAGUCUCUGAGAAAACGACCCCGGAGGCAGAGUUCCUCACAGCACUGAGGACACUCAAGAGGCCUGGACAAAUCCCUCCCUGCUUCCAGGGCCAAGGAACGAGAAACAUGGGGAGAAGGCCUGCCUCUUCCUCUUGGGCCCUGGGAGACACAGAACCUUCCUUUGCCCAUUCCAUGGACAUAUGCAGAGGUCUCCUUGGGUCCACAUGGUGCUGCAUCAGCAACAGGCAGAGGGAUGCUUCAGGAGGGGUGUACAUGAGUUGAGCUGGGGGGGAACACAGGGACACAUGCGUUGACAUGACAGGGAAUGCUGGAAUCGGGUUAGGGGACACAACACUUGCUGCUUUUCCCAGGUCCCCAUCUCAGCGAGGGCCACCCUUACCCCUACUGCCAUCCAAGUGAGAACUCUGGGAGUCACUCCUGACGCUGCCUGCCCACGAGGGCAAUCAGUCAUCAGGUUUGUCUCGCCGGUUGUCUCCUGUCUACACCCACUGCCCCUGGUAAAGUUUUCAGCCCUGGUUUUCUGGACUGUGACCCUAGGCUCCCCUCUGUCCCUGUGCUCUCCAAGUAGAAUGUCUUGUCUCUAGGACAGAUCUGUCCAUGCUUUUUCCCUGUGCCCCAUGGCAGGAUCUCCAUGGUCUCUGAGAAGACGGCCACGAAGCUUGAGUGUGGCACUCAAGGCCUUUACCUCUGGCCCCAAACUUCUUCUCCAGCCCUGUCUCUUGGUCCAGACCUGUACUGUUCAAGGCAGCAGCCACCAGCCACAUGUGGCUACUAGGGUUAAUAUGCUUUGAAAUGAAAUAAAACUGAA